rnacentral:rRNA from 1 species
CAGGCUUAACACAUGCAAGUCGAGGGGCAGCGAGGGUAAUAGCAAUAUUACCUGUCGGCGACCGGCGCACGGGUGCGUAACGCGUAUGCAACCUACCAUCAACAGGGGGAUAACACUGAGAAAUUGGUACUAAUACCCCAUAAUAUCUCAUGCGGCAUCGCAUGGGGUUGAAAACUCCGGUGGUUGAUGAUGGGCAUGCGUUGUAUUAGCUGGUUGGUGAGGUAACGGCUCACCAAGGCGACGAUACAUAGGGGGACUGAGAGGUUAACCCCCCACAUUGGUACUGAGACACGGACCAAACUCCUACGGGAGGCAGCAGUGAGGAAUAUUGGUCAAUGGACGCAAGUCUGAACCAGCCAUGCCGCGUGCAGGAUGACGGCUCUAUGAGUUGUAAACUGCUUUUGUACGAGGGUAAACCCCGAUACGUGUAUUGGGUUGAAAGUAUCGUACGAAUAAGGAUCGGCUAACUCCGUGCCAGCAGCCGCGGUAAUACGGAGGAUCCGAGCGUUAUCCGGAUUUAUUGGGUUUAAAGGGUGCGUAGGCGGUUUGAUAAGUUAGAGGUGAAAUGUCGGGGCUCAACCCCGAAACUGCCUCUAAUACUGUUGGACUAGAGAAUAGUUGCGGUAGGCGGAAUGUAUGGUGUAGCGGUGAAAUGCUUAGAGAUCAUACAGAACACCGAUUGCGAAGGCAGCUUACCAAACUAUAUCUGACGUUGAGGCACGAAAGCGUGGGUGGCAAACAGGAUUAGAUACCCUGGUAGUCCACGCAGUAAACGAUGAUAACUCGUUGUCGGCGAUACACAGUCGGUGACUAAGCGAAAGCGAUAAGUUAUCCACCUGGGGAGUACGUUCGCAAGAAUGAAACUCAAAGGAAUUGACGGGGGCCCGCACAAGCGGAGGAACAUGUGGUUUAAUUCGAUGAUACGCGAGGAACCUUACCCGGGCUUGAAAGUUAGCGACGACGCUUGAAAGAGCGUUUCCCUUCGGGGCGCGAAACUAGGUGCUGCAUGGUUGUCGUCAGCUCGUGCCGUGAGGUGUCGGGUUAAGUCCCAUAACGAGCGCAACCCCUACUGUUAGUUGCCAUCAGGUGAUGCUGGGCACUCUAGCGGGACUGCCGGUGUAAGCCGAGAGGAAGGUGGGGAUGACGUCAAAUCAGCACGGCCCUUACGUCCGGGGCCACACACGUGUUACAAUGGUAGGUACAGAGGGCAGCUACCCUGCGAAGGGGUGCGAAUCUCGAAAGCCUAUCUCAGUUCGGAUUGGAGGCUGAAACCCGCCUCCAUGAAGUUGGAUUCGCUAGUAAUCGCGCAUCAGCCAUGGCGCGGUGAAUACGUUCCCGGGCCUU